rnacentral:lncRNA from 1 species
AUGGACAGACUAUCCAAUGAAUCCAUUAUGUUGGUGGUGGAGCUGGUGCAAAGAGCUCCAGAGCAGCUGCUGGCACUGACCCCACUCCACCAGGCAGCCCUGGCAGAGAGGGCACUACAAAACCUGGCUCUAAAGGAGACUCCAGUUUCAGGGGAAGUGCUGGAGACCUUAGGCCCUUUGGUUGGAUUCCUGGGGACAGAGAGCACACGACAGAUCCCCCUACAGAUCCUGCUGUCCCAUCUCAGUCAGCUGCAAGGCUUCUGCCUAGGAGAGACUUUGCACCAGACUGAGCGAUGGACCUGCUAUUAGCAGGGAAGUUUCG